CCCCACACUUAUCUAGGCAAAAGCUUUCAAAGGCAAGUUUAGUGCCAUUUUGGCGAAUUAGGUUAGCAAUUGUUUAAUGGUGGAUGAGAUGGACAGUGCAUGUUUGGCGGCUUGAAAAUAGUAAAAUUUUCCGAGACUUUUCGCUUUAUGUGCGGAAUAUUUGUGUUUUUCGGAAAGCAGACGCAUUUAUGUAGUGUUUCGUAGUGUUUUCCCGGCCGAAAAAGUAAAAUGCCCCAUAAUCGAGCCAUUGGAUAUUUUCCAAAAAAAUCUCCAAAACCACAAAUACUGG